rnacentral:rRNA from 1 species
UACGGAGGAUGCAAGCGUUAUCCGGAAUUAUUGGGCGUAAAGGGUCCGCAGGUGGCAGUGUAAGUCUGCUGUCAAAGAAUGAGGCUUAACCUUAUCAAGGCAGUGGAAACUACACAGCUAGAGUACGGUCGGGGUAGAAGGAAUUCCUGGUGUAGCGGUGAAAUGCGUAGAGAUCAGGAAGAACACCGGUGGCGAAAGCGGCUCUCUGGAACGGUACUGACGCUGAGACGCGAAAGCGUGGGGAGCGAACAGG